rnacentral:rRNA from 1 species
UACAGAGGUCCCAAGCGUUGUUCGGAUUCAUUGGGCGUAAAGGGUGCGUAGGCGGCGCGGUAAGUCGGGUGUGAAAUCUCGGAGCUUAACUCCGAAACUGCAUUCGAUACUGCCGUGCUUGAGGACUGGAGAGGAGACUGGAAUUUACGGUGUAGCUGGUGAAAUGCGUAGAUAUCGUAAGGAAGACCAGUGGCGAAGGCGGGUCUCUGGGACGGUACUGACGCUGAGACGCGAAAGCGUGGGAGCGAACAGG